GACAUUUGGUAGAGACCGUUGAAGCCAUCUGGUCCCAGCAGACCCCAGAAGGCUACCAUGUUCACUGGUGCUGUGGCAUGGUCGUUGAGGGUGAAGCCUGGUGCCAGAUGUGU
ensembl:rRNA 5S_rRNA 5S ribosomal RNA